AUAAUGUGUAACAACUGUAAUAAAGGUUCAUAUUGAGAACACAGCACGUGUGAGGUCCCUAUGUCACUGGUCACAUAUAUAUAUAUAUAAUGUGUAACAACUGUAAUAAAGGUUCAUAUUGAGAACACAGCACAUGUGAGGUCCCUAUGUCACUGGUCACAUACAGUAUAUAUAUAUAUAAUGUGUAACAACUGUAAUAAAGGUUCAUAUUGAGAACACAGCACAUGUGAGGUCCCUAUGUCACCGGUCACAUACAGUAUAUAUAUAUAUAAUGUGUAACAACUGUAAUAAAGGUUCAUAUUGAGAACACAGCACGUGUGAGGUCCCUAUGUCACUGGUCACAUAUAUAUAUAUAUAUAAUGUGUAACAACUGUAAUAAAGGUUCAUAUUGAGAACACAGCACAUGUGAGGUCCCUAUGUCACUGGUCACAUAUAUAUAUAUAAUGUGUAACAACUGUAAUAAAGGUUCAUAUUGAGAACACAGCACGUGUGAGGUCCCUAUGUCACUGGUCACAUACAGUAUAUAUAUAUAUAUAAUGUGUAACAACUGUAAUAAAGGUUCAUAUUGAGAACACAGCACAUGUGAGGUCCCUAUGUCACUGGUCACAUAUAUAUAUAUAUAAUGUGUAACAACUGUAAUAAAGGUUCAUAUUGAGAACACAGCACAUGUGAGGUCCCUAUGUCACUGGUCACAUAUAUAUAUAUAUAAUGUGUAACAACUGUAAUAAAGGUUCAUAUUGAGAACACAGCACAUGUGAGGUCCCUAUGUCACUGGUCACAUAUAUAUAUAUAAUGUGUAACAACUGUAAUAAAGGUUCAUAUUGAGAACACAGCACAUGUGAGGUCCCUAUGUCACUGGUCACAUACAGUAUAUAUAUAUAAUGUGUAACAACUGUAAUAAAGGUUCAUAUUGAGAACACAGCACGUGUGAGGUCCCUAUGUCACUGGUCACAUACAGUAUAUAUAUAUAUAAUGUGUAACAACUGUAAUAAAGGUUCAUAUUGAGAACACAGCACAUGUGAGGUCCCUAUGUCACUGGUCACAUACAGUAUAUAUAUAUAUAAUGUGUAACAACUGUAAUAAAGGUUCAUAUUGAGAACACAGCACAUGUGAGGUCCCUAUGUCACUGGUCACAUAUAUAUAUAUAAUGUGUAACAACUGUAAUAAAGGUUCAUAUUGAGAACACAGCACAUGUGAGGUCCCUAUGUCACUGGUCACAUAUAUAUAUAUAUAUAUAAUGUGUAACAACUGUAAUAAAGGUUCAUAUUGAGAACACAGCACGUGUGAGGUCCCUAUGUCACUGGUCACAUAUAUAUAUAUAUAUAAUGUGUAACAACUGUAAUAAAGGUUCAUAUUGAGAACACAGCACAUGUGAGGUCCCUAUGUCACUGGUCACAUACAGUAUAUAUAUAUAUAAUGUGUAACAACUGUAAUAAAGGUUCAUAUUGAGAACACAGCACGUGUGAGGUCCCUAUGUCACUGGUCACAUAUAUAUAUAUAAUGUGUAACAACUGUAAUAAAGGUUCAUAUUGAGAACACAGCACGUGUGAGGUCCCUAUGUCACUGGUCACAUACAGUAUAUAUAUAUAUAAUGUGUAACAACUGUAAUAAAGGUUCAUAUUGAGAACACAGCACAUGUGAGGUCCCUAUGUCACUGGUCACAUAUAUAUAUAUAUAAUGUGUAACAACUGUAAUAAAGGUUCAUAUUGAGAACACA